AUUGAACGCUGGCGGCAUGCCUUACACAUGCAAGUCGAACGGCAGCACGGACUUCGGUCUGGUGGCGAGUGGCGAACGGGUGAGUAAUAUAUCGGAACAUACCCUAGAGUGGGGGAUAACGUAGCGAAAGUUACGCUAAUACCGCAUACGAACUAAGGUUGAAAGUGGGGGAUCGCAAGACCUCAUGCUCAUGGAGUGGCCGAUAUCUGAUUAGCUAGUUGGUGAGGUAAAGGCUCACCAAGGCGACGAUCAGUAGCUGGUCUGAGAGGACGACCAGCCACACUGGAACUGAGACACGGUCCAGACUCCUACGGGAGGCAGCAGUGGGGAAUUUUGGACAAUGGGGGGCAACCCUGAUCCAGCAAUGCCGCGUGAGUGAAGAAGGCCUCGGG
rnacentral:rRNA from 1 species